rnacentral:rRNA from 1 species
AUUGAACGCUGGCGGCAUGCUUUACACAUGCAAGUCGAACGGCAGCGCGGGCUUCGGCCUGGCGGCGAGUGGCGAACGGGUGAGUAAUACAUCGGAACGUGCCCAGUAGUGGGGGAUAGCUCGGCGAAAGCCGGAUUAAUACCGCAUACGACCUGAGGGUGAAAGCGGGGGAUCUUCGGACCUCGCGCUAUUGGAGCGGCCGAUGGCAGAUUAGCUAGUUGGUGGGGUAAAGGCCUACCAAGGCGACGAUCUGUAGCUGGUCUGAGAGGACGACCAGCCACACUGGGACUGAGACACGGCCCAGACUCCUACGGGAGGCAGCAGUGGGGAAUUUUGGACAAUGGGCGAAAGCCUGAUCCAGCAAUACCGCGUGUGUGAUGAAGGCCUUCGGGUUGUAAAGCACUUUUGGCGGGAACGAAAAGGACUGUGCCAAUACCACGGUUCGAUGACGGUACCCGCAGAAUAAGCACCGGCUAACUACGUG